rnacentral:rRNA from 1 species
UCCAGACUCCUACGGGAGGCAGCAGUGGGGGAUAUUGCACAAUGGGGGAAACCCUGAUGCAGCGACGCCGCGUGGGUGAAGAAGCGCCUCGGCGCGUAAAGCCCUGUCAGCAGGGAAGAAAAUGACGGUACCUGAAGAAGAAGCCCCGGCUAACUACGUGCCAGCAGCCGCGGUAAUACGUAGGGGGCGAGCGUUAUCCGGAUUUACUGGGUGUAAAGGGAGCGUAGACGGCGGCGCAAGUCUGAAGUGAAAGCCCGUGGCUCAACCGCGGAACCGCUUUGGAAACUGCGAGGCUGGAGUGCUGGAGAGGUAAGCGGAAUUCCUGGUGUAGCGGUGAAAUGCGUAGAUAUCAGGAGGAACACCGGUGGCGAAGGCGGCUUACUGGACAGUGACUGACGUUGAGGCUCGAAAGCGUGGGGAGCGAACAGGAUUAGAUACCCCCGUACU